GUGUAGCUCAGUUGGAUAGAGCGUCUGGCUACGGACCAGAAGGCCGAGGGUUCGAAUCCUUUCACG
rnacentral:tRNA from 1 species